GGGGGCCCGCACAAGCGGUGGAGCAUGUGGUUUAAUUUGACGCAACGCGCAGAACCUUACCAACCCUUGACAUACUUGUCGCGGAUUCCAGAGAUGGAUUCCUUCAGUUCGGCUGGACAAUGUACAGGUGCUGCAUGGCUGUCGUCAGCUCGUGUCGUGAGAUGUUCGGUUAAGUCCGGCAACGAGCGCAACCCACGUCCUUAGUUACCAGCAUUUAGUUGGGUACCCUAAGGGGACUGCCGGUGAUAAGCCGGAGGAAGGUGUGGACGACGUCAAGUCAUCAUGGCCCUUACGGGUUGGGCUACACACGUGCUACAAUGGCAUCUACAGUGAGUUAAUCUCCAAAAGAUGUCUCAGUUCGGAUUGGGGUCUGCAACUCGACCUCAUGAAGUUGGAAUCGCUAGUAAUCGCGGAACAGCAUGCCGCGGUGAAUACGUUCCCGGGCCUUGUACACACCGCCCGUCACACCAUGGGAAUUGGGUCUACCCGAAGGUGGUGCGCCAACUAUUUAUAGAGGCAGCCAACCACGGUAGGUUCAGUGACUGGGGUG
rnacentral:rRNA from 1 species